GAAUUGACGGGGACCCGCACAAGCGGUGGAGCAUGUGGUUUAAUUCGAAGCAACGCGAAGAACCUUACCAAGUCUUGACAUCCCAUUGACCGUCCCGUAACGGGGGCUUCCCUUCGGGGCAAUGGAGACAGGUGGUGCAUGGUUGUCGUCAGCUCGUGUCGUGAGAUGUUGGGUUAAGUCACGCAACGAGCGCAACCCUUAUCCUUAGUAGCCAGCAAGUAAAGUUGGGGACUCUAGGGAGACUGCCAGGGACAACCUGGAGGAAGGCGGGGAUGACGUCAAAUCAUCAUGCCCCUUAUGAUUUGGGCUACACACGUGCUACAAUGGCGUAAACAAAGGGAAGCGAAGACGCGAGUUGGAGCGAACCCCAAAAAUAACGUCUCAGUUCGGAUUGUAGUCUGCAACCCGACUACAUGAAGCUGGAAUCGCUAGUAAUCGCGGAUCAGAAUGCCGCGGUGAAUACGUUCCCGGGUCUUGUACACACCG
rnacentral:rRNA from 1 species